CAAUAGCGUAUAUUAAAGUUGUUGCGGUUAAAAAGCUCGUAGUUGGAUUUCGGGUGGGAAUGGCCGGUCCGCCGUUUCGGUGUGCACUUGCUACGCCCACCUUGCUGCCGGGGACGUGCUCUUGAGUUCACGCUCGGGACACGGAGUCGGCGAGGUUACUUUGAGUAAAUUAGAGUGUUCAAAGCAGGCCUACGCUCUGAAUACAUUAGCAUGGAAUAACACGAUAGGACUCUGGCCUAUCUUGUUGGUCUGUAGGACCGGAGUAAUGAUUAAGAGGGACAGUCGGGGGCAUUCGUAUUUCAUUGUCAGAGGUGAAAUUCUUGGAUUUAUGAAAGACGAACUACUGCGAAAGCAUUUGCCAAGGAUGGUUUCAUUAA
rnacentral:rRNA from 1 species